CUUUGUGUAUCUUAUCAAGUUCUCAAGCUAGGGUUCCAGUAUAAAGAGUAAUAAAAUGAUAGUUGUAUAGAUUUUUUUUUCCAAAACUUCCGGAUCGUUCAACUCUCGUCUUCUUCGUUAUUUGUUUAGGGUUUCAUAUCAUAUUGAGAUGAGUUGUUACAAUCAAUCGAUUAAACCAGAGAUCAUCAUUUUCAUUGAUUCACUGUUCAGUUUUUGUUUUGUAUUUCAGAAGAGUUUUGCCUUCUUGAACGAUUGAUUUGGGUUAAUAAAGUUGGUUUGGGGCAAAUCUGUGCAGACCUUGUAUCUGUGACAGGUGUAUAUCGUCUGACAACUUAAAUCCUCUCUUGUAGCGUCAAUUCUAGAUCAAAGUCCACUCCAACACCUCAAGACGACAUAUGAAAGGGUUUACAAGCUAGCGGUGAAUCAAGGUGUUUCUAGAUUCAUCUCUUAAUUUGUCCAGAUCUUCACUUGAAUAACCAAUUCGGUGAAUCAAGUUUAAAGAGGAAGGGGGCUAGCUGAAUGAGCAAAUUAGGUAUUAACACAUGAGAGGUUUUUCUUCAGAAAAUUCAAAAUGGCUAUGAAGGUAUUCUUCAAUGAUAGUGUUUCUUUCCCUUUAUUAAUAUGGCACUUUGGUCUUCUAAUCUUAAUCUUUACCAGAAGAUGGAGGCUACUCUUAUGGCUUUAAGUCGAGUUUCAAAGCUGAAAGUGUAAUAUGAUGGAAAGAAAGUACCUUGGACGACUGAUUUGUGUUUUUUUAUGAUGAUCUUCUAUUUAGACAGCAGGGGUAAUGUUUUUUUUACCCCUUAUGUCUCUUUAUAUAUAUGAUAAUAUAUGACCCACUACCCUAUUUUUAUGGAGCCAAGUUAAAAAAUCGUGGGACAGUUUUACCAUUUUUUGGCGCCUUCAAAGUUUAAAAAUACGUGUUAUUAUAAAU